CGGGCGGAGGUGCAGAUGGGAGCACGCCGGUUUUGGGAACCGGAGGCUCUGGGUUCGACCCCCAGGCGCCCGA
rnacentral:tRNA from 1 species